rnacentral:misc_RNA from 1 species
UAAUAAGUGUUUUAUGGCGCUUUUAAAUCCAUAUCCACCUUGUGUGCAAUGUCAGUCGAUCUUCUUCAUGGAGAUCGACCAAACAUCAACCUUUAUCUUUUAACUCUUUGUCUGAAAAAUUUAUGAAUAAACUAUUCAAAAUA